rnacentral:rRNA from 1 species
CCUACGGGUGGCAGCAGUAAGGAAUAUUGGUCAAUGGACGCAAGUCUGAACCAGCCAUGCCGCGUGGAGGAUGAAGGCCCUCUGGGUUGUAAACUUCUUUUAUCUGGGGCGAAACUCCUCUAUUCUUAGAGGCCUGACGGUACCAGAUGAAUAAGCACCGGCUAACUCCGUGCCAGCAGCCGCGGUAAUACGGAGGGUGCAAGCGUUAUCCGGAUUCACUGGGUUUAAAGGGUGCGUAGGCGGACAUGUAAGUCAGUGGUGAAAUCUCAGAGCUU